GAAGACGGGUGAGUAACGCGUGGGAAUCUACCUAGCUCUACGGAAUAACCCAGGGAAACUUGGACUAAUACCGUAUACGCCCUUCGGGGGAAAGAUUUAUCGGAGUUGGAUGAGCCCGCGUUGGAUUAGCUAGUUGGUGGGGUAAUGGCCUACCAAGGCGACGAUCCAUAGCUGGUCUGAGAGGAUGAUCAGCCACACUGGGACUGAGACACGGCCCAGACUCCUACGGGAGGCAGCAGUGGGGAAUAUUGGACAAUGGGCGAAAGCCUGAUCCAGCCAUGCCGCGUGAGUGAUGAAGGCCCUAGGGUUGUAAAGCUCUUUCACCGGUGAAGAUAAUGACGGUAACCGGAGAAGAAGCCCCGGCUAACUUCGUGCCAGCAGCCGCGGUAAU
rnacentral:rRNA from 1 species